rnacentral:miRNA from 1 species
GUCCACGCAGCACAGCGGUCA